rnacentral:lncRNA from 1 species
AUUUCAUCACCAAAAGUCCAAACACACUACUUACAGGCACCCCAUUCCUUGCCAAAGAAGUUAACAUUAUAGUAUAUCAGAAAGUGCUAUUUUCACUGCAACAAAGAUUGUAAGGCAUCCUACAGGGCUGCUCUUUUGCAGAUCAUUUGA